CUAAUAAAUACUGCUGUGUACUCCUCUGUAUUUCUUAUGUACCUUUUCACCCAGUCUAUUGAGUGCUCGACUUUGCCCGCAGAUUGGAAGAUGGGGAAGGUGGUGCCGCUGUUGAAAUCAGACUCCUUUCUGCCAAAGACCAGUGCCGAGUGGAACCACCUUCCCCCCUCCAUCGCCUCCAUUGAGGACGUGUCAUCCUUCAAGACUGCAGUAACCGAUCAUAUCUUAAGCCUCUAAUA